GAUCAACGCUGGCGGCGUGCCUAAUACAUGCAAGUCGAGCGAACGGACGAGAAGCUUGCUUCUCUGAUGUUAGCGGCGGACGGGUGAGUAACACGUGGAUAACCUACCUAUAAGACUGGGAUAACUUCGGGAAACCGGAGCUAAUACCGGAUGAUAUUUUGAACCGCAUGGUUCAAAAGUGAAAGACGGUCUUGCUGUCACUUAUAGAUGGAUCCGCGCUGCAUUAGCUAGUUGGUAAGGUAACGGCUUACCAAGGCAACGAUGCAUAGCCGACCUGAGAGGGUGAUCGGCCACACUGGAACUGAGGCACGGUCCAGACUCCUACGGGAGGCAGCAGUAGGGAAUCUUCCGCAAUGGGCGAAAGCCUGACGGAGCAACGCCGCGUGAGUGAUGAAGGUCUUCGGAUCGUAAAACUCUGUUAUUAGGGAAGAACAUAUGUGUAAGUAACUGUGCACAGCUUGACGGUACCUAAUCAGAAAGCCACGGCUAACUACGUG
rnacentral:rRNA from 1 species